rnacentral:rRNA from 1 species
AUUGAACGCUGGCGGCAGGCCUAACACAUGCAAGUCGAGCGGAUGAAGGGAGCUUGCUCCUGGAUUCAGCGGCGGACGGGUGAGUAAUGCCUAGGAAUCUGCCUGGUAGUGGGGGAUAACGUCCGGAAACGGGCGCUAAUACCGCAUACGUCCUGAGGGAGAAAGUGGGGGAUCUUCGGACCUCACGCUAUCAGAUGAGCCUAGAUCGGAUUAGCUAGUUGGUGGGGUAAAGGCCUACCAAGGCGACGAUCCGUAACUGGUCUGAGAGGAUGAUCAGUCACACUGGAACUGAGACACGGUCCAGACUCCUACGGGAGGCAGCAGUGGGGAAUAUUGGACAAUGGGCGAAAGCCUGAUCCAGCCAUGCCGCGUGUGUGAAGAAGGUCUUCGGAUUGUAAAGCACCUUAAGUUGGGAGGAAGGGCAGUAAGUUAAUACCUUGCUGUUUUGACGUUACCAACAGAAUAAGCACCGGCUAACUUCGUG